UACCGAGGGGGCAAGCGUUGUUCGGAAUUACUGGGCGUAAAGGGCGCGUAGGCGGCCUUCUAAGUCGAACGUGAAAUCCCUGGGCUCAACCCAGGAACUGCGUCCGAUACUGGAAGGCUUGAAUCCGGGAGAGGGAUGCGGAAUUCCAGGUGUAGCGGUGAAAUGCGUAGAUAUCUGGAGGAACACCGGUGGCGAAGGCGGCAUCCUGGACCGGCAUUGACGCUGAGGCGCGAAAGCCAGGGGAGCAAACGGG
rnacentral:rRNA from 1 species